GAAAAAGGAAAUAAAUAAUGCUUUUGUGAAUAAUGAAGACUCUAUUCGACUUUCACUCCAUUCACAAAGCUCGUUCCCGCCGCCCAAUUGUCGACUUCCUUGUUGUUAAUCUAUGAAAAGACAGUCCACACACUAGUUUCGAACUCCUAGCUCGACCUUCGCUCUUGCUGCCGCUGAUUAUUAAGGUGCAACCCGUGCGCGAGUCAACCUGGAAUAAUUUAUCUUCCUCGCCUGCUAAAACGUGAUUCCUACACACGAAUUGAAAAUCUAAAUAUUCGCGAUGAAGAGUCGUGUAACCUGACACUAGGGAAUACCCCCAAUGUAUCAACAGGCCGACAGAGAACGACACUGAGCAGAGAAUACGACGGAGCACGAGCGGAACACGAGCUCCUGGGACGAUAUUAUCGCACGGGCCGUUAAAUCCCAGAUCCUACCAACCGUGAAAUGUCCCGUCAUAACAUAAGGCCUCCCCCACUUUGUCAUGCCACUUUAUUUUCCCGCUCCAAGAUUUUAUUCCGACCUUCGCUCCGUUCAGAGAUUCGCUGAUUAUGCGGCAUCGGGCAUCGUUCUGGCAUCGCCUCGCGAGCGCAACGGAAAUGCGUCCGAUACGUGUGCUUCGAGCUCCUCAAUCUUAUUAGCGAGAAUGACUCGGCUCGCUUCUCUCGGGCCUAAACAGUGGAGUAGCCGCGUCACGCGAUCAUUAAGCUUCUAUAAAGUUGAUUCUCCCGAGCAUUCUGGCCGGUCAUAAUUGAUUACAACAUGCGCAAUAUUCUUCAAACAAUGACAGUAGAAGCAAUAAUUCGUGUCACGAGACAAUUGCAUGUUUUUAAACAUAUAGAUACGUUGCCGUUAACAUAUUAAUGAAGCAAUUAUAGAAAAAAUAAUCUAUCACUCUUAAAGAUGUGUUGUUAGAAUAAAGUAUCUAUAUAAAGGCGCCGUAAAAAAUUAGUACAAAAACGCUAAACUUGUAAUUUAAAGACGAAAUUAUGUGUUUCAUCGAAUAUCGCGGUGCCGCGAAGUUUAGAUUCGACAUGUCCUGACGGAGACACCGUAAUAAACAAUUUUCAAGCGCGGCGCCAUAAACUGGAUCAAUAUGGCAGAGAUUACGAAAUAAGAUCGUUAUGCAAAGCAGUCGGAGAGGGUCGCAUCGGGAUUGCGCCGCAGCAAUUCGCGGGGGGUGCGGUUAACGUCUCGCGGCAAGCGUGCAAGCUCGGGGGAUGGCUUUUUCGGUGAUUUAACCAAGGAGGGUGAACGUUUGUUAUUCAAUUUGCAACCCCCUCGGUACCAGCCACUGCUCACCCUCUACCCACAGAUCAUCGCGCCUUUACGACCAUGGCCGUACGCUCCUAAUGCAGGAAGCAUUCUUCCUCGCUCGAAAUAUAGCGAUCGCUGACAACGAUCGUACGUACAUCUGCUGCAAUAUACUGAAUCUAUGCUGUACUCA